GCCCCGAGACCGAAGGAGAAGUACAGUACAGCUUAGCGCCACCGGCCGGAGCCUGAGGAGAGGCGCAAAGGGGCGCGAGACGAUCGCGGGCGCUAACCUCCCGCUCCACACACCCCGCCGGAGACCGGGCAGAAGCAGCACCGCCCAGAAGCGCUUCCGCAUCCGGGGCCCGGCCCCCGCAUCACGUGGUGCCCGCCACCGAGCGGCGGAGGGGGCGGGGCCCCGGGGCGGCGGGCGGGGGAGAGCUGGGGGCGGGGCCAUCGUAACGGCCGCGCGGCGCGAGGGAGGGGGCGGCGGGCCCGGAUGAGGAAGUGAUGUGAGCGGGCUGCGGAGCGGCGAGGAGCGGAGCGGCCGCGGGGUAAACUGUGAAAGACAGUGGGCCUCCAGCUGCCCCCAUGCUCUCAUCUGGGGUGGAAUGUCUCCUUGACUCCUCUGCCUGUACUGGCACUGAGGACCUGCACAAGGGGCUGCCGCUCAGCAUCCCCGCUGGCCUUAUGGCUGUGUCUGAGCCCGGUGCUGGGUUAGAUGCAAAGCCUGAUGUGUCCACACCUGAGCUGGCAUGCAGUAAUGAGCUGUCAUCUGAGCACCACAGGACUUUGGAGGCAAAAGGCUUUGGUGAGGGGGCAGCACAUCUGGAUGAUAUGGUCAGAGAGGUUCACUGGGAGCCAGCAGAACUGCUUACUGAAGAAUUACUGAAUGAUGGAGAUGUUGAAAACAAUGAAGAAAACAAACAAACUCGGA
rnacentral:lncRNA from 1 species